UACGGAGGGUGCGAGCGUUGUCCGGAAUUACUGGGCGUAAAGGGCGCGUAGGCGGCCUAGUAAGUCAGACGUGAAAUCCCUCGGCUUAACCGGGGAACUGCGUCUGAUACUGGAGGGCUUGAGAUCGGGAGAGGGAUGCGGAAUUCCAGGUGUAGCGGUGAAAUGCGUAGAUAUCUGGAGGAACACCGGUGGCGAAGGCGGCAUCCUGGACCGACACUGACGCUGAGGCGCGAAAGCCAGGGGAGCAAACGGG
rnacentral:rRNA from 1 species